UACGGAGGAUGCGAGCGUUAUCCGGAUUUAUUGGGUUUAAAGGGUGCGUAGGCGGACUGUCAAGUCAGCGGUAAAAUUGAGAGGCUCAACCUCUUCCCGCCGUUGAAACUGGUGGUCUUGAGUGGAUAAGAAGUACGCGGAAUGCGUGGUGUAGCGGUGAAAUGCAUAGAUAUCACGCAGAACUCCGAUUGCGAAGGCAGCGUACCGGCAUCCAACUGACGCUGAGGCACGAAAGCGUGGGGAUCAAACAGG
rnacentral:rRNA from 1 species